GAUGAACGCUGGCGGCGUGCCUAAUACAUGCAAGUAGAACGCUGAAGGAAGGAGCUUGCUCUUUCCGCAUUAGUUGCGAACGGGUGAGUAACGCGUAGGUAACCUGCCUGGUAGCGGGGGAUAACUAUUGGAAACGAUAGCUAAUACCGCAUAACAGUAUAUGUUGCAUGAUAUCUACUUAAAAGGUGCAAUUGCACCACUACCAGAUGGACCUGCGUUGUAUUAGCUAGUUUGUUAGGUAACGGCUCACCAAGGCGACCGUACAUAUCCGACCUGAGAGGGGGAAUCGGCAACAUGGGAAUGGGGACCGGCUCAGGACCCCAAGGGAGGCAGCCGUAGGGGAUCCUCGGGCAUGGACGGAAGUCUGACCGGGCAACGCCGGGUGAGUGAAGAAGGGUUUCGGAUCGUAAAGAUCUGUUGAAAGAGAAGAACGAAUGUGAGAGUGGAAAGUUCACACUGUGACGGUAUCUUACCAGAAAGCCACGGCUAACUACGUG
rnacentral:rRNA from 1 species